AGGCAAGAAAAAACAGCUCUUUGUGCAACUUUCAAAAGAUUCAAACAUUCUUGCCUAGCUAAUGUGGAAAUUAGAUCUUCAGCUGGUGGACAAUAUAUAGGAAAGGCAACUAUAAAUAUAAAAGCUGGGACUGAGCUGACUGUAUGCCAUGAAUCUGUCGACUUUUUUGAGCAAAGUCGCAGUGAGCGCAGCGCUAUUUUCGAAGAAGGGGGAAUUAUUUGCAAGUGUGAUGUAUGCUCUGUCCCAGCGUCGAUGGAACCAUUUGUAAUAAAUGAGCUUAAAUUUCAAAAUUUUUUUCUUUAAUUCAUAGUGUAAA